rnacentral:rRNA from 1 species
UACGUAGGGUGCAAGCGUUGUCCGGAAUUAUUGGGCGUAAAGAGCUCGUAGGCGGUCUGUCGCGUCGGUCGUGAAAACUUGGGGCUUAACCCUGAGCUUGCGGUCGAUACGGGCAUGACUGGAGUUCGGCAGGGGAGACUGGAAUUCCUGGUGUAGCGGUGAAAUGCGCAGAUAUCAGGAGGAACACCGGUGGCGAAGGCGGGUCUCUGGGCCGUAACUGACGCUGAGGAGCGAAAGCGUGGGGAGCGAACAGG